GUGUGAUUUACCGUGUUCUGUGGCAUCGUUUGAGCUUUGAAAAAAGCGAGAAGUUGCAGCCUUUAAAAAUUACCUAGCGUUUUUCUUUGACUUUUUGGGGUCAAUCUUGGUUAAACGGCUGUUUGGGU
rnacentral:ncRNA from 1 species